UCUCUGGUCAUACAGUUGGUCAAGGACCCAGCAUUGUCACUGCUGUGGCUCAGGUUCAAUCCCUGGCCUGGGAA
rnacentral:tRNA from 1 species